GUUCUGCGUCCGAGAGAGAGAGAGGUAACUCACUUCCGGCGAGGUGUGCGAACGUUGGGAGGGUGGACUGAGGAGCUGUAUGGGAUGUCGGCAGCAAUGGCGGUCUGUAUGGAGAUGUAUUGAAACAUAACCGCGGCUAGGUUAUGUGAAUCUCAUUAAAGGUGUGAGCCAACGUGUGCAGUAUUGCAGUGGGCUGGUGUCUGGCUCGGUGCGUGUUUCAACUAUUGUUGGAGGCUUGAUGAUUGGCUGUUCCAGUGGCAGCAAAUUGUUUUCCCAUACUGGGGCAUUGUGCCUCAGCAUCGGAAUUAUCACCUCGUUUGCCCGGGAUCGUACGAUGCUGUAGUCAAAUUGAGCUGGCGGAUCGGUCCGAGUAACCGGUCGUUAGAUUGUGCAAGUGCACUUUUUCUUUAUAAACUGAGUACAUUGACUGUGUACAACUUUCACAGGAUCAGCUGGACUGGGGUGCGGCGUUCUUCUCACUCCUUUGAUGGGUUGUGAGUAACGUGAAACAGAAACCUUGCAAUUAAAGUCUAUAGCAGUGUAUAACAGACAAUCGGCUUUUUUGCGUCACCGUCCUUUUUGAGUUUGUUUUUGUUUGAUUUGAUUCUUAAAUGAAGUUUAUUUUGAUGUGUUUAUGGUAUGUUUUAUUUUAUUGUAACCAGUUUGCGGUUAUGGCCUGGUUCUAGCCCGCGUUCAGAGCUGUAGUGUGCUGGACGCGAUCCCUCACCUAUUUGGGCAGAACUGAGACGUUGAAUACUUUUCAUGUUUUAAAUUGUGUAUUGUAUAUGUGAUCUGACCAUGGUGUUUUAAAUCUAAUUAAGUGUUGGAGUUAUUGAUUCUUUAUCUUUUUUUUUUCUCAUCAGAAUCGGGUGGCCAAUUGCGGAGGGGCAGCCUUCCCUUGAGUGUGGUGGUGGGCUUUUUGCCUGAAUGCCGUGUUCACUGGAGGUGUGGUAUGCUGUGGUGUGAGUGUGCACUGUUGAUUGCUGUUUCCAUCCUGUCUAGGUGUGCCACCCGCAAUUCUGAAGGGUUGAUAUUAGUAUAGUUUCAUUUGCUUUUCUUCUGAGUUUGUCAUAUAUUAAUAAAGAUGGUAUUUU